UGUACCUUUUUAUGGCAUUGCAAAUAGCUAUGCAAUCAUCCUGGAGUAACAGUGCAAGAAUACAAAUUACAGACUAACCCAGUCUGCUGGUGUCUCAGUGCAAGCGCUUGUUUAUAUCUGCUUCACUCUGCUAGUUGUUUCACAAAAGGCGUACGGACAUAAAGGCAAUGGCAAAGGGUCAAAGAGGUCUUGUGUAGGUGUAAGGUGCAUUUAGUAGGUAUUGUUGAAGUUACUAGUGAAAUAAGCUACCUGGGAAUUAACCAUUGGUAUUGCAUCAGUGUACAGCAGUUCAAAAACAGUACAAAGCUCCUUCUCCAAUUUGAACUGCAGAUGAGUAUGGGGAAGCAGACAGUAAUUAAUGGAAGUGAAAUUUAGUCAGAAGAAUCAUCAGUUUCCAGGAAAUGCCAGCAAAGCUGUGCCUCUGCUUUCUGAUCUGGUGCAGAUGCAAAAGCGUCGCUUAUGUUCAGGUCUGUAAGUAGUUAUUACAGAGGUGGGAAGGAAAGGAUCAAAGAUCCAUGGGUGAAAGUUCAUGUAAGUGUUGAGGCCUGCUUGAUAAGGUUAAGAGGUUAAAAAAAAAAAUUCUGACUCACAAAAUAGAUACAGUACCAAUCUUAAAAGCAUCUGCUUUCUCAGAUGGUAUUAGUAGUCUUGGUCUUCUGAUACUUGGUGUAAAUAAUGACCGUACAUCUCUGCAUAAUCGUUAACUGCAUACACUGUAUAGGAAGAUCACAUUUCCACUCUCUUGCCCUAAGGUUAGUUGGAAUGAGAACGUGCUGUUUUCUGCCCACCAAGGUAAAAACAAAAGGCCUGAUUUUUCUUCUAGCCCCUGGGAAAAUCAGAAGCCUGUGCAUAAAAGUCAGCUAGAAUAACUAGCACUAGUUUGAAGCCCCUGAGAAUGGUGGAAGACUCCAACUCAAAGAUACUGUGUUGUGGCGCUGGUGGAGAUGACAGUCAUUUUGAAGCCUGGAGCAUCACAACCCAAACAAUCACUCAAGAAGAAAAAGUGUUGGCUUGGAACAAACCAGAAGUAUUGCAAAUGACUGCUUUGAAUCUCCUGCAUGAUCCUGAACAGAGGAGGCUAUUUCUCAGCAGGUGUAUCUUCAUUCUGGUGCUUCAUCUAGGAUUUUAAGCAGCAGAUUGUCUCACGGUGAGCUGGCUACAUAUUUGGACCUUAUCUUGGGAGUGAAGAGGAGCCCCCAGGCUCUCACCCACACUUGUUUAUCACACAACCCUUUGACAUUCUCCUCAUAACAGAUUUAAUUUGGAGCACAUAUGUAUGACAUAUGUGACAUCAUCAAAUAGUUACCUGAUGCUCGUCAAAACAGUGGGAACAAAACAAUAACUUCAAG